rnacentral:rRNA from 1 species
UACGAAGGGGCUAGCGUUGUUCGGAAUCACUGGGCGUAAAGGGCGCGUAGGCGGCUUUAUAAGUCGGGGGUGAAAGCCUGUGGCUCAACCACAGAAUUGCCUUCGAUACUGUAGAGCUUGAGACCGGAAGAGGUAAGUGGAACUGCGAGUGUAGAGGUAGAAAUUCGUAGAUAUUCGCAAGAACACCAGUGGCGAAGGCGGCUUACUGGUCCGGUUCUGGAACGCUGAGGCGGCGAAAAGCUAGGGGAGCAAACGGG